rnacentral:rRNA from 1 species
GACGAACGCUGGCGGCGUGCUUAACACAUGCAAGUCGAGCGGUAAGGCCCUUUCGGGGGUACGACGAGCGGCGAACGGGUGAGUAACACGCGGGUGACCUGCCCUCAGCUCUGGGAUAAGCCUGGGAAACCGGGUCUAAUACUGGAUAUGACUCCAUGACGCAUGUUGUGGGGUGGAAAGCCUUGUGCGGCUGAGGAUGGGCCCGCGGCCUAUCAGCUUGUUGGUGGGGUGANGGCCUACCAAGGCGACGACGGGUAGCCGGCCUGAGAGGGCGACCGGCCACACUGGGACUGAGACACGGCCCAGACUCCUACGGGAGGCAGCAGUGGGGAAUCUUGCGCAAUGGGCGAAAGCCUGACGCAGCGACGCCGCGUGAGGGAU